ensembl:lncRNA
UCUUGAGGAGGGUUGAUUUAACUCUUUACUAACUUUAAACCCCACAAGUAAAAAUUUCAUAUGUUCUUGACUGCAAACACAAAAACUGCUUGAUGUUAUUACUAAUUAUUUUCCUCCACAACACUCCAAAUCAUGUUCUCUCUUGUGUCCAGCAGGGGAAUAAGGUGACCUCUACUCUCACUGCUUCCCCAGUCAGAGACAAUAUCUCACUCACACUUCCACACUUUAUUGUUUUCCCUCUUUCUUGACUAUUAUUAUUUCACAGAAAAUCAACUGACCUACUUCUCCUUCCUCUUCUGUCAUGCAGAAAGUCACACACACACAGCACUCGGCCCCCACCUUGUCUUUCUCUCACAGACACACCUACACACACACACACUCUAAUCGUCCUUUCACAACAAAACUUCACAAACGUCCACUGCAACAGUUUUAAGCACGCAAAGCCAGCGAAAAUUCACUCUCACAUUCACUUCCCUAACAACUACAAAGUUUUCACAUAGAAAAAUAAUCCAGACAAUCUACCAUGCACCGUUUUCCCUCCUUAUACGAGAGACUCAACCAACUUUUAAAAGCUUUAUUUACACAACAUCAAAUAAAGCACAGAUCUCUGCCUUUUCCAGGUAGAGAAGGAAAUACGACCCAACUCAAAAUCUCCCAGCAAUCACACAAAGUUCUCAAAUUUUGUCAAGAUAUUUAUCCCCGCACUCCUACCUUACUGGAGUUUUACACAAGGGAUCAUUACUCAUGGAAUUCUAUUAAACCAUAGUCACAUUAGGAAAUCACAAACACAAGACUACAAGGUUUAGUUUAUUUAAUAUACUGAAAUCUUUUAACCAUACUUCUGAGACCCCUUUUCACCUAACGAAAAGAAGCUCAGAAGGACAGAAAGGGAGAAAUAGGGAGAUGAAACCAAGGGCCGCAGCUGUACACACACACACUCCGCUCGUACUCGCGCGCGUGUGCCCGCUACCGCGCAGCACCACACAACCCCUCCUUUCUCCUAAGGAGAGAUACACACACACACUCUGGAUCCACACAGAAGAAAUUCAACAACACAAGACAGUUUAUACAAUUUACACUUUUAAAUGCACACACACACGGGUAAUUUAUAUACAAUAUACACACGGGCCCGCAUAGACGUCAUAUGCUAGAAGAGGUUACACCUAACUUUUUGACUAAUUUAAAAGCACCUAUAGCCCAGGCCUCGCCUUGCUGGUCAAUACACACCUCGGGAACGCCCUCCCGAUAGCGCUCAAAUUCCUAAGAAAACACCAUAUGCCAGAACAACUUUAUCUCACUUCUCUAUUUCUCUGCUGGUGUUGCUAAAUUUUUGACUAAUUUAAAAGCAUCUUUCAGCCCAGAGCCUCGCUCUUGCUGAUCAAUUACCCGUCUCAAGUACGCCGCCUUGAAAACGGCCUCAUUACUAAGUUCUAGUACUUUAAAACUGCUUCCCCGCCCGGACACCCGGAUCUCCACCAGCGGCGUGAAAUAUCCCAGAUCACGCUUUUGGCUUUACUUAAAGUUCACAAGCUCCUGACGUUUAAAUAGGAGGCAGCCGGUCCGCGACUCUACCUGCCAAUUAAUGCAGUAUAAGACACUCACUCUUAGAAUGCCUGGCCAUUAAGGGCGUCCCAACAUUCCCCCGGUAGGCCAACCGAGCUUAAACAUAACAACGCGUCCGUUGCAUGUGGCGUCUGCCAAAACGCUGAACAACUGCAUUCCUAGGGGCCGCGCCCCAGUCCUAAUCAAUUUUACUUAUUUUAAAAGCCUCACUGUGGGUACCCUGCCCUCCAGUUUAAUUACCUGAGACCCAAAACCGCGUUUUUGCUACCCAAUCAAAACCAAAUUAUCCCUACACUACCGAUUGACUGGCUGGCAUGCCCAGUCAACCCACAUUUAAACCUCUUAAACCGUAUCUAUUUGUUUCCCCACACCUUAAACCGUAUUAACUUAAACACAUAACUUCUUAACUCAAAAUUCACCCCCAAAAUAAACAGCAAUGAAUUUAGUCAGACUACUAUGCCCUAUUUUAAAACUAAUUACACAAGAUCACUAUGGACCAACGCCAGAAGCCCAGACUGAGUGAAUAUUAUUUAAUUAAAUUUAGUUUUAACUUCCAAUAUAGCGCCUUUGGAUAAAAAUCAACAGGUGGCACUCACCUUUUCUUAUGUCGCCUGGCGUCACUCAGAUAGGCUGCUGGCCCCCGCCCCUGUUUGUCACCCACACGAUAGCUGCAAGCUCCCCUCCUCCCCAACCGGAGUUUCGGCACCAAGUUGUUACGUCUGGUUCAGUUUGGGUAAGAAGGAAAAACAGCCGAGUCCGUGUAGGUGACAAACAUAGUGAUUUUAUUACACACUUCUAAGACAGAAGCAUGGGAAGACAAGCGUACAGCCACAGAUCUCCACAGAGUGGACCAUUCCCCAUCCUUAUAUAAACCCAUGAUGACAUCACACAGUUAGACCUUACUGGAAAUAAUAACAGUCUCCCCAUAGUCCAAAGUUCUCCUUAUACAAACAUCAGAUGAUACUUUAGAGAAAAACCAAGUGUGUGACAUGUCAUGUUGUGCAGUUCGGUGAGCCUGUGUGUCCAACUAGAGAAUGUCCUGACAUGACCUCCCUGUGUAAAUAAGGGUGAACGUGCGUGUUUACAUAACUCUCUAUGUGCAUGUUCUGAUGUAGGCCUGCAAAUGAAUUAGAACAAGGUCCUGCUAGACCCUCCAGUUAUGGACGGUGAAUACAAUGCUGUGGAUACCAUUUGAGACUUGAGUACAAUGAUGAUAACCUGCAUACAUUAAUCUUUACUCAGAUUACCAUAGAUAUAAAACAAAGAUUAUACUGCCAUCAGAUUCCACAAUGGUAAAUGAUUAAUGAUUGAUACUUC